rnacentral:rRNA from 1 species
CUGGUUGAGCCUACCAGUAAUAUACGCUUUGUCUCAAAGGUUAAGCCAUGCAUGUCUAAGUACAAACAUAAAUGAAUGUGAACCGCAUAAGGCUCAGUAUAACAGCUAUAAUUCACAAGAUCAUCCUACACUAGUUACUUGGAUAAUGUGGAAAAUCCAGAGCUAAUACAUGCAACAUGCCGGGACUGUUGCCCUCGCGGGUAGCUGAACUGGUGCACUUAUUAGUUAAACCAAUCGCCUCGGGGCGGUUUGAGUUGAAGUCUGGAUAAGACGCAGAUCGUUAUGGUCGCUUGUCGACUGCGACAGAUCUUUCAAAUGUCUUGCCUAUCAACUAUUGAUGUAGUGUAGAGAUACCAUGGUUGCGACGGGUAACGGGGAAUCAGGGUUCGAUUCCGGAGAGGGAGCCUGAGAGAAAUGGCUACCACAUCCAAGGAAGGCACGCAGGCGCGUAAAUUACCCAAUCCCAGUACGGGAGGUAGUGACGCAGAAAUAACCAAAUAUGGACCUCUCUAAACGAUGGUCCAUAAUUGGAAUGAGUGAGUAUAAAUCCUUCAACAAGGAUCAAGUGAGGGCAAGUCUGGUGCCAGCAGCCGCGGUAAUUCAGCGUCCACUAGCGUAUAUUAAAGUUGUUGCGGUUAAACGUUCGAAGUUGAUUGCCCGUCCAGACACGUGACCGCCACCGGGCGCCCGGGUUACACGCCGGGGCCGUUCGUGCGCUGCGCUCCCACGGCUGCUACUCACAAUGGUGUACUUGGGCGUUACUCUGUGAACGAGUACCCGUGCUACGGUUAACUCCGGCACGGGCUCUCAUUGGUGCUCCAGAUACUCCACAUUUUACCUUAGACAAAUUUAGAGUGUCUCAAAGCAGGCUAAGACAAAGCGUCCGGCCCCCCCGUGUGGGUUGGCGUUGGCCGAGAAUAAUCUUGCAUGGAAUAAUGGAAUAUGACCUCGGUUAUACGAUUUCGUUGGGUUUGUCAGAAAACCUAGAGGUAAUGAUUAACAGAAUUAGUUGGGGCAUUGGUAUUACGGCGCGAGAUGGUGAAAUUUCGCUAGACGUCGUAGGACCAACUUGAAGCGAAAGCGUUUGCCAUGGAUGCUUUCUUUAAUCAAGAACGAAAGUUAGAGGAUCGAAGGCGAUUAGAUACCGCCCUAGUUCUAACCGUACUUGCCAAUUAUUCUAAGGGAAGACGCAUACCCCUAUUCUCUCUCUCAGUCCUUCCGGUGAAACCAAAAUCAUCGGUGGGG